UGGGGAAUAUUGCACAAUGGGGGAAACCCUGAUGCAGCGACGCCGCGUGAGCGAUGAAGUAUUUCGGUAUGUAAAGCUCUAUCAGCAGGGAAGAAAAUGACGGUACCUGACUAAGAAGCCCCGGCUAACUAUGUGCC
rnacentral:rRNA from 1 species